GGGGUUGUGGCUCAGUGAUAAGAGCACUUGCCUCCCACGUGUGAGGCCCUGGGUUCAAUCCUCAGCACCA
rnacentral:tRNA from 1 species